rnacentral:rRNA from 2 species
CGUGGGGCGUGCUAUACAUGCAGUCGAGCGCGGGAAGCGAGUGGAUCCCUUCGGGGUGAAGCUCGUGGAACGAGCGGCGGACGGGUGAGUAACACGUGGGCAACCUACCUGUAAGAUCGGAAUAACCCCGGGAAACCGGGGCUAAUGCCGGGUAAUACUUUUCUUCGCAUGAAGGAAAGUUGAAAGAUGGCUUCUUGCUAUCACUUACAGAUGGGCCCGCGGCGCAUUAGCUAGUUGGUGAGGUAACGGCUCACCAAGGCGACGAUGCGUAGCCGACCUGAGAGGGUGAUCGGCCACACUGGGACUGAGACACGGCCCAGACUCCUACGGGAGGCAGCAGUAGGGAAUCUUCCGCAAUGGACGAAAGUCUGACGGAGCAACGCCGCGUGAACGAUGAAGGUCUUCGGAUCGUAAAGUUCUGUUGUUAGGGAAGAACAAGUACCGUGCGAAUAGAGCGGUACCUUGACGGUACCUAACGAGGAAGCCCCGGCUAACUACGUGCCAGCAGCCGCGGUAAUACGUAGGGGGCAAGCGUUGUCCGGAAUUAUUGGGCGUAAAGCGCGCGCAGGCGGUUCCUUAAGUCUGAUGUGAAAGCCCACGGCUCAACCGUGGAGGGUCAUUGGAAACUGGGGAACUUGAGGACAGAAGAGGAGAGUGGAAUUCCACGUGUAGCGGUGAAAUGCGUAGAUAUGUGGAGGAACACCAGUGGCGAAGGCGACUCUCUGGUCUGUUUCUGACGCUGAGGUGCGAAAGCGUGGGUAGCAAACAGGAUUAGAUACCCUGGUAGUCCACGCCGUAAACGAUGAGUGCUAGGUGUUAGGGGGCUUCCACCCCUUAGUGCUGAAGUUAACGCAUUAAGCACUCCGCCUGGGGAGUACGGCCGCAAGGCUGAAACUCAAGGAAUUGACGGGGGCCCGCACAAGCGGUGGAAGCAUGUGGGUUUAAUUCGAAGCAACGCGAAGACCUUACCAGGUCUUGACAUCCUUGGACCACCUAAAAGAGAAAAGGGUUUUCCCUCGGGACAGUGACAGUGGGUGCAUGGUUGUCGUCAGCUCGUGUCGUGAGGAUGUGUUGGGGUUAAGUCCCGCAACGAGCGCAACCCCUAAUCUUA